UCAUAAUUGAUUACCCCCCAGCGAGAAUCUCUCUUGGUAUAAAGUGGUUUGGUUCAAAAUAAUUCUAGACAGACAUUUUCUUCCUCAUUUAAAAUACUAAAUAACGUGACGCGCUCCCUCCAUUCAGUAACGCAACCUCGUGGCUGUCUAUUAGAACAAAUUAAUGAUGUAUUGUUAAUAUAAAUAAGCUGAAGGCUUCAAGAAGCUGAUUGUACACUCCAAACAGAUUGAAGACCGAGUUCUCCCUCCAGGGCUUUCUGUCAGUUGAGUCAGGUAAAGGAACAGCGUAACUAGACCACGUUGUUAGAGGGGGGAACGCUCUACAUCUGCGCCUCAGGGGUUGGCUUAGACUUACCACUAGUAAUGUACCUUAAUUAAACAUAUGCUGCUGACUCUAUGUUGGUUGCUUCACUUUACAAAGCGACAAAGUGUUCAAAGUUGGAGUCGUGAGACUGAGCUUUAUUUCAGUUUCUUACUUUUGGUUUCCAAGUUAGUCCUACCACUAGAAUACCGAACAAGCCUGACACGUUUACUUUUCAAAGGGAAAGCAUUUUUUCAGUUUCUUACUUGUGGCUUCCCCAGUCAUACCAUCAGAAUACUAAACAAGACAGACAAGACACGCUUCCUUUUCCAAGAGUCAGCAGAAAUAUAA